CGCAGGUUUUAUGACUUGUAACGUUUGCCCUAUGCUUAAACUGUAAAUGGCCGCGUAAGUGCUAAGGUAGCAAAAUCAAUAGCCUAUUAAUUGUAGCCUAGAAUGAAAAAUUAAACUUUUUAGAGAGUAGCUUUUAGUAAAAAAAAAUUAAUUUUUAUGUGAAAAAGCAAAACUGCUUUUUUUAGACGAGAAGACCCUAAAACUUUUAAAUAUUUAAUUGGGAUAAUUUUUUAAUUUAAUAAAAAUAAUAAACCUUUACAGGGAAGACCCUUAAAAGCUAAAUAAAAGUACUUUAGGGAUAACAGCACU
rnacentral:rRNA from 1 species